CCUACGGGGGGCAGCAGUAGGGAAUAUUGCUCAAUGGGGGAAACCCUGAAGCAGCAACGCCGCGUGGAGGAUGAAGGUCUUAGGAUUGUAAACUCCUUUUGUGAGAGAAGAUAAUGACGGUAUCUCACGAAUAAGCACCGGCUAACUACGUGCCAGCAGCCGCGGUAAUACGGAGGGUGCAAGCGUUAUUCGGAUUCACUGGGCGUAAAGGGUGCGCAGGCGGGCUUGCAAGUCAGAUGUGAAAGCCUGUGGCUUAACUACAGAACUGCAUUUGAAACUAUGAGGCUGGAGUGUGGGAGAGGUAGGUGGAAUUCUUGGUGUAGGGGUAAAAUCCGUAGAUAUCAAGAGGAAUACUCAUGGCGAAGGCGACCUACUGGAACAUAACUGACGCUGAUGCACGAAAGCGUGGGGAGCAAACAGGAUUAGAUACCCUAGUAGUC
rnacentral:rRNA from 1 species